CUUCGCGCCCUGCUGGCGCGAAGCGCUUUUCCCACUGUAACAAGGGGUCUGCCCGUG
rfam:Erwinia sp. EM595 isolate E_g_EM595 genome assembly, chromosome: 1